UUGAACGCUGGCGGUAUGCUUUACACAUGCAAGUCGAACGGCAGCACGUGGCAACCUGGUGGCGAGUGGCGAACGGGUGAGUAACAUAUCGGAACAUAUCCGGAAGUGGGGGAUAACGCAGCGAAAGCUGUGCUAAUACCGCAUACGCCCUACGGGGGAAAGCGGGGGAUUCGCAAGAACCUCGCGUUAUUGGAGUGGCCUAGGCCUGAUUAGCUAGUUGGUGAGGUAAAGGCUCACCAAGGCGACGAUCAGUAGCUGGUCUGAGAGGAUGAUCAGCCACACUGGAACUGAGACACGGUCCAGACUCCUACGGGAGGCAGCAGUGGGGAAUUUUGGACAAUGGGGGAAACCCUGAUCCAGCCAUUCCGCGUGAGUGAAGAAGGCCUUCGGGUUGUAAAGCUCUUUCAGGAGGGAAGAAACGGUUACGGAUAAUACCUGUGACUAAUGACGGUACCUUCAGAAGAAGCACCGGCUAACUACGU
rnacentral:rRNA from 1 species